GAGAGACGAGUGCAGUGCUGAGAGUUUCACCUGUUCAAGCUGUAAAUGCUUGCUAAUAAUACAUGAAGAUGCUUUAAAUUAAAUUGCAGAUGAUCGCCGACGGAUGCCUCAUGCAGACACACGUGGAAGAUGCAGCUUCUUUGCCAGCAUUUCACCCUGAAGAGGAGAGUGAAGACAUGAAUUAUCAAAAUCCAUGCAGCGAGAUGCAUGAAGAUCCUGAGGAGCAAAGAGAUGAGAUGGAAGCAGAAGAGAGACCUUAUUUGUGUCCAGUGUGUGGAAAGAGUUUUUCACGACUGGCCAACCUCAAGAAACACCAG